AUUGAACGCUGGCGGCAUGCCUUACACAUGCAAGUCGAACGGUAACAGGUCUUCGGAUGCUGACGAGUGGCGAACGGGUGAGUAAUGCAUCGGAACGUGCCCAGUAGUGGGGGAUAGCCCGGCGAAAGCCGGAUUAAUACCGCAUACGACCUGAGGGUGAAAGGGGGGGAUCGCAAGACCUCUCGCUAUUGGAGCGGCCGAUGUCAGAUUAGCUAGUUGGUGGGGUAAAGGCCUACCAAGGCAACGAUCUGUAGUUGGUCUGAGAGGACGACCAGCCACACUGGGACUGAGACACGGCCCAGACUCCUACGGGAGGCAGCAGUGGGGAAUUUUGGACAAUGGGCGCAAGCCUGAUUCAGCAAUGCCGCGUGCAGGAAGAAGGCCUUCGGGUUGUAAACUGCUUUUGUCAGGGAAGAAAUCUUCUGGGUUAAUACCUCGGGAGGAUGACGGUACCUGAAGAAUAAGCACCGGCUAACUACGUGCCAGCCGCCGCAGUAA
rnacentral:rRNA from 1 species